UCUGGUGAUUAUGGCUUGAAGGUAACACCCG
rnacentral:rRNA from 1 species